CAGGAGGGCCAUUGCUCUCUCAAAGGCUUUCGGAGCCUGGAGGCCCACCUCCACCUUGCCACUCCAUGCAAACCUUCAGCUCCCAACCCAUCCUAUCAGGACAGCCUUCUCCCUUUGGGAGAUAGCCCUGCCACGAUGUCGUUAUGGAGACAGGUCCGUAGGUAUGUACCCACUGAUUUUGACAAUAGCUUUCCAGCUGUGACUCCUUCAUUCCUAUGCCAGAAUACUGCUUCUUUCCGUUCAUUCCUUUUGUCCUCUCUUUCCCUCGUGCUUCCUAGUGUAUGGACCCCACCGCAGCUGGCCUGAGUUGUCUGCACGUCGAUGUUUUCCCAGCAGCAGAGUGUAUGGACCCCACCGCAGCUGGCCUGAGUUGUCUGCACGUCGAUGUUUUCCCAGCAGCAGAGGUGAGCACGCCCGCCACAGGGACAAAGACAGCUCUGUUCCCCAGGGGAUUGGGGGACUCUUGGUGACACCUCCCUUUUUCGCAAUCAAUCUACCAGCCUUAGGUCCGAUUUCCGGACCAGCUGUAUUGAGGGAACGGAAGAGGCUCCAAGGUAAAGACAAGGACGGCGUUUCAGGAGACCUCAGGCGAGAAACUGCCCAGGGAUUAACACAGCUGCUCACCAAAGGAUCACCGUUUGACCACCUUCCAUGCAGACCCUCAGGCACUUUCUCCUGGCACCAGAGCCCAGGUCAGCCUGGGUCUCCCAAUCAACAGCUCGCCGCAGACACCAGCCAACAGCCCAACAAAACCCCAAACCCAAGGGGAAAAUGGCAAAAGACCUCAAGAGACAUUUCCCGAAACAGACAUGCAGAGGGCAAAAAGCACUGGGAGACAUGUGCCCCGCAUCCCUCAUGAGGAGAGACAUGCACGUCAAAGGGACUCUGCAGGACCAACCACCUCUCUCUGAAGGGCCACCAUUAGGAAGUCUACAAGGCACACAUCCCUGAGAGGGUGUGGACAAGAAGAUGCCCUCCUCCACGGUGGGUAUUUUUGUACGUGUGGACAACCGCGAUGGACCACACGAUCGAGGGAAUCCACAAAAAUCAAUAGCGGACGACCUCAGCACCCAGGCCUCCCACUCUUGUCCUAUUUCCGGAAUUGGGUC
rnacentral:lncRNA from 1 species